AGUACAGCCUGAGCAGACGACCCACGAGGAAGGUCAGGAUCAAGCAGAGUGAAGGAAGGAAAGCUAGAUUCCCUGGAGGCUGCCUGAGAGCUGCUUGCCAGUCCCGGAGGAGGAGGCUGAUGUAAUGGUGUAUAACCUCCAGGUCACUGAGCUGCGGAGAACAGCCCAAGGGGCCCUUGGCAAAGACGAUGUUGCUUUCAUCUGGUCUCCUGCGGAAACAUAGAAUCCAUUGUUAAACAUUUGUCAGCACACCCAUGAGUAGAAGUCUCAGUUUUGCUCUCAGAGAGGCAUAAAUUCUGACCGACUCCUGGCUUUGGGAAAGAGGUAUUUAAAAUUCACUAGACUAUAUCGGAGGAAAUGCAGCAUCCACCCCAAUGACUUCUGAUUAUAUGUAAAGAAAGAGAAACAGAGCAAGAGAGAAAAGAGAGAAGAAGAAAAAAGAACUCAAACUUGCAACAGAGAUCAACCAAGAUACCAGCAGCAGAUCCAUUCAUGGAUUGUACCAAUCUGAAGCAAAUCACUCUCCAAGUUUCUAUCAUUGAGGCUUUUCCAACAUUUGAUCAUAGUCAGGACUAUCUUGGAUACUACAAUCAAGUUUUCUCUGUCAUUCAAGGACUGUUGAAUGAGCACUAUCUGAUCCAGGGCAUUGUAAUAAGUGCUG
rnacentral:lncRNA from 1 species